rnacentral:rRNA from 1 species
GACGAACGCUGGCGGCGUGCUUAACACAUGCAAGUCGAACGGUGACGGCAGAGCUUGCUCUGCCUGAUCAGUGGCGAACGGGUGAGUAACACGUGAGUAACCUGCCCCUCACUUCGGGAUAACCUCGGGAAAUCGUGGCUAAUACCGGAUAUGAGACCUGACUGCAUGGUCGGGUCUGGAAAGAUUUAUCGGUGGGGGAUGGACUCGCGGCCUAUCAGCUUGUUGGUGAGGUAACGGCUCACCAAGGCGAGGACGGGUAGCCGGCCUGAGAGGGCGACCGGCCCCACGGGGACUGGGGAACGGCCCGGGCGCCACCGGGGGGAAGGGGGGGGGAAAUUUGCCAAAGGGGCGAAGGCCGGGAGGAGGGACCCCGGGGGGGGAAGAAAGGCCUUCGGGUUUGAAACCCUUUUCGGGAGGAAAGAGGCGAAAGGACGGGUACCGGAAAAAAAGGCCCCGGUAAACUACGG